GCGGCGCGACGGGCUGGAGGUGAGUCGCGCGCUGCGGGCGCGCGGGCUGCGCACGCCGCUGUUGAUGCUGACGGCGCGCGACGCG
rnacentral:tRNA from 1 species